AUGGGUAUUCAAGGGCUUCUGCCCUUAUUGAAAUCGAUAAUGGAGCCAAUUCACAUUAAGGACUUGAAGGGCUGUAGUGUGGCGAUAGAUACCUACUCUUGGCUUCACAAAGGUGCCUUGUCCUGCAGCAGAGAGCUCUGUAAAGGCAUACCCACUUCCAGGCACAUCGACUACUGUAUGUAUAGAGUGAAUCUGUUGCGGCAUUACGGUGUUAAGCCUAUACUUGUCUUUGAUGGUGGUCUUCUACCAAUGAAGGGUGAACAAGAGAACAAACGUGCAAGGGCAAGAAAGGAAAAUUUUGCACGUGCUAUUGAGCAUGAUUCCAAUGGAAAUUCUUCUGCUGCUUAUGAGUGCUAUCAGAAAGCUGUUGACAUUUCACCUUCAAUUGCAGUAGAUUUAAUCCAGGUGUUAAAGCGGGAGAAUGUGUCUUAUGUUGUGGCUCCAUAUGAGGCAGACGCACAAAUGACCUUCUUGGCAGUCAGCAAACAGGUGGAGGCAGUCAUCACAGAAGACUCUGAUUUAAUACCAUUUGGAUGUCCUAGGAUUAUCUACAAAAUGGACAAAUUUGGGCAAGGUGUUGAGUUUCAGUAUUCAAGGCUACCUCGGAACAAGGACUUGAGCUUUGCAGGAUUUACAAAGCAGAUGGUUUUAGAGAUGUGUAUUCUUAGUGGUUGUGACUAUUUGCAAUCAUUACCUGGAAUGGGACUUAAAAGGGCACAUGCACUUAUAAAAAAGUUCACAAGCUAUGACAAGGUUAUUAAGCACCUAAAGUACAGCACGGUUUCAGUUCCUCCCCUUUAUGAAGAAUCAUUCAAGAAAGCAAUACUGACUUUCCAGCAUCAACGGGUUUAUGAUCCCGUUUCUCAAGAUGUUGUGCAUUUGUCUGAUUUGUCUGAUGACGUUGAAGAAAAUUUGGACUUCGUAGGACCAUCUAUACCACAACAUAUAGCUAAAGGCAUAGCAGAAGGGGAUCUUGAUCCAUUUACCAACAUGCCUUUCCAGGAAGAGAAGAUUACUGCCAACACAAGUUCCCGACCCAAAAAUGUGAAUUUUGAAAAUACAAAGAAAAACUAGAUUUGCCUGUGCAGAAUAAUCUUCUGACAAAGUACUUUUGCUUUGCCUCUCUUGAAGCAAAGAGAAAAUUCAGGGCACCACGAUCAUCACCUGAUGAUCCAAGUCCAGUUUCUAGUUCUAGUCUCAGCCCAGAUGAAGGAACCUCUGUGGAUGAUGCUUUUGGUAAAACCAACGUCUCAGCUUCUUCUCUUGGUCUGCAUGAACAUGUCUCUGUUGAUGAUGCCGUUUGUACUACGAAUUGCUCAAAGCCUAUUCUGCUUUACCCUGAAAACAAUGGAAAUAUGCCUCAUAGUGAUUCAGUAGAAGAUAGUUUCCCCACUGAUCUAUCAGAAUCUCCAAAUGAUGAUAUGGCGGGCAAGGCAAUAAGCCCAGACAGUACAUUGUUACCACAAUCUAGACACUCAAUUCAUAAACCCUGUUUAACACUGCAUAUGGAGCGUGAAUGUAAGAAUGCUCAAGGCACAUUUGAGGGUAAAACAAGGACAGAGAAUAGAAAGGUCAUUGUAAGAAGUUCUUAUUUUAAGGAUAAGUCAAGAAAUGAAAAUAUUCAGGAAGAUAAACAAGAAAGCCUCUUGUCGAAGGAUUCUCUUGCCAGUGAUAUGCAUGAGAAUGUAGAUCCUGAGAGUGCUCCUUUCGGAAACCAGUUCUCAAGAAAACUUGUGAAAAGGAAAAUCUCCCCAAAUUACAACGUUCAAGAGGACGACGUGAAACCCAAACAAUUGUGUCCUAAUGCAUCACUACCCCAUAAUGGUCCCUCCAGCAAUGAAGCAACAUUUAUGGACAUCAAAACUGAAGAAGGAAAAUUUGGAUCCAACAUUUCCCAUUUAGGUCGGUAUUCUGACAUAGCAGAGAAGUCAGUGGAAAACUUUGUUUCAGUAAUAUCAUCAUUUAGAUUUGGCUCAUCUGGUUCUCGAGCAAGUGGCCUCCGUGCUCCUCUGAAAGAUGUUCGAAAUACUUGUACCAAUAGGACAACUGUUGGUGCUGACUUUAGCCAAUUUGAAUAUGUACCAAAUAAUCAAAAGACAAAAACAACAGCUCGAAAACGCAGAAUUUAG